rnacentral:rRNA from 1 species
AGCGAACGCUGGCGGCAGGCCUAACACAUGCAAGUCGAACGAACUCUUCGGAGUUAGUGGCGGACGGGUGAGUAACACGUGGGAACGUGCCUUUAGGUUCGGAAUAACUCAGGGAAACUUGUGCUAAUACCGAAUGUGCCCUUCGGGGGAAAGAUUUAUCGCCUUUAGAGCGGCCCGCGUCUGAUUAGCUAGUUGGUGAGGUAAAGGCUCACCAAGGCGACGAUCAGUAGCUGGUCUGAGAGGAUGAUCAGCCACAUUGGGACUGAGACACGGCCCAAACUCCUACGGGAGGCAGCAGUGGGGAAUCUUGCGCAAUGGGCGGAAGCCUGACGCAGCCAUGCCGCGUGAAUGGUGAAGGUCUUAGGAUUGUAAAAUUCUUUCACCGGGGACGAUAAUGACGGUACCCGGAGAAGAAGCCCCGGCUAACUUCGUGCCAGCAGCCGCCGUAA